UCUCCUUUCCUUUUUUCUCUUCUUUUCUCCCUCUUUUUUCCUUAUCCUUUUUUUUAGGUACCGCCAAUAGGGGAGCCGCGGACGUUCCGGCAACCCCCCCCCCCCUUGAUCCGCUACUGGCUACGUACACUAUAACUCUUAAAGUAGUUUUGUCUUGUUUUCCGCAGACAACGAGCCCCCUUGUUGGGAAUGCCGUGACAUGCAAACAUCCAUCGCGGAUCAAGACCUUGCUAGCAUCGCUUUCAUCCCAUCUGUGUCAGACAACGUAGAUCCAAAUCCGUCCAUUAACUGCUCUCACACAUCCGUAGAUCUUUCUCAUCUUGGAGACACUAGCAUCACAUGUGAAGCAAAAGAUUCUUCUGGAAACAUUGCCGUCUGUACUUUUAUGUUUACUGUAGGAUAUUUCCAGAGAAGGCCGGUCUCCUAAGCAAUCUAACUCCAGUAUGUUGGUAAUGUAUGGUCUACUGCAAACAGGUGAUUAGCUCUGGUGAAGCUAUGAUUUUCCUAAGAAUGUACAUUUAAAGACAAAUGUAAUGCCAGGGCUUAAUUUGUAUCAUCAUCUCUGAUAAUAUAAUGGUUCUUUUGGAGUUUUAGGUAAUUUUGAAGACAAAUGUCAUAUUAAGAGAAUGGGACAUUGUACAAAAGGAUCUUUUGUACAACCAACACUAUGAUGUGUUUUCACAAUGAGGAGGUAUUUAAGCUAACUUUGUACCAAAUUUUAAGAGUUUUAUAUAGAUUUAUUUCAAUUUUCUCUAUCCCUCAAUCUAAGUUGACUAUUUCAAUGACUUUGGAUCAUGUUGCCCCGUAUCAAGUCUUGUUAGGGUAUCUAAUGCUACGCAAUGCUGAGCAAAUAGAGAAUAAGCAACGUGUCCAUUCUCUCUAAACUCUGUAACAUCCGCCCCAUAAUUUAUCAAUAUCAUCUAAUUCUAAUUACAUCAGAGAAGAGAAGUGCCAUGAAUGUAAGUAAAGAGAUAAUGAGAUAUUUUUAGCCUGUUUUAUGUCAAUAAUAUGUUAAAUUAAUUGGAAUGUAUAAAACUCUGGCUGUCACAUGCUCAAUGCAAAGAGCGUUUCCACUGUACAUAGAUGUUUCGUGUAAAAUCAAGGGGGAUUUUAUGUAGAACUGACUGUUUACAUGGUAAAGAUGUGUCUUUUUUAAUCUAAACAUCUUGAAAAUAACAUUUAGUUCUCCAAACUUAAAAAAAAGUAUUAAUCAAGAUGUUCACAUCUAAAAAUGUCACAUCCGCGAGGGCAUUUCAAGCAUUAAUUCAUGAAGUUGUACAUAUAACAAUUUAUACGUACAGCAAUCUCUUCAUCAGUGGUAUAGUUAGAUUGUCAUUACCGUAGAGGCUAAAACGUAAUCCCCUAUUACCGUUGUAUAUAAAGUAAUAAAUGUUUGAUUACUGUGUUUAAGUUCAGAGAAAUGAAUCCCAGAUUUAUUUGGG